rnacentral:rRNA from 1 species
UACGAAGGGGGCUAGCGUUGCUCGGAAUCACUGGGCGUAAAGGGUGCGUAGGCGGGUCUUUAAGUCAGGGGUGAAAUCCUGAAGCUCAACUCCAGAACUGCCUUUGAUACUGAGGAUCUUGAGUUCGGGAGAGGUGAGUGGAACUGCGAGUGUAGAGGUGAAAUUCGUAGAUAUUCGCAAGAACACCAGUGGCGAAGGCGGCUCACUGGCCCGAUACUGACGCUGAGGCACGAAAGCGUGGGGAGCAAACAGG